rnacentral:lncRNA from 1 species
CAAAAUUUUACAGUACAUUAAAAUAUUUCAUCCUUAUUGUACUCCACAAAAGUCAGCAACCAAAACAUGAAUUUAAUUUAAAUUCACAAAUGCUAACACACACUGCUUACAUUUCUAGCGUUUCUUUGCCGAGAUAACUGUGAAAAAUCAGACUAAUUAUGUCUUCAUAUACUAAAACUGUAUUACGAGCCAGCUCAUAUGCGCGUAAAAGAAUGAAAACUUAUAAAACACCCUGCAAUAAUUAAACUAUCAAUAUUCUUUAAUCAAAUAUUAUAAAAGUGCUAAUUUCUAUAAAACAUCCAAAAACAACAAUUAAUAACGUAUACAAUAUGCCAUCACAUCAUACACGGUCACUAACUCUCGAACAUUAUACUUCACAUGAAAACAUAAGGGAACCUGUGAGAAACCAUCAGGCCUACACGUGGCAGUCCCUAUAUACAACCUACCUUCUUAUUUCUACCCAUCAUCACCAUCCACAAAUUUGUCUACGAGUAAUCUCCUUUCAAGGCUCCCUAAAGACUCGACACUAACAAUCUGAUUACUGAGUGUAUUCCAUUCAUCUACCAAACUAUUUGAGUGACUUUUCAGGAAAUAAAAAUAAAUCGCUUUACAGAGAGGUACAUGAAUGAAAUAGACCCACUGAUCAGGUUGUUAGUGCAGAGUCGGUAGGGAGCUUCAGAAGAUAGAUAAAUUCAUAAAUGGAGAAGGGCAGAGAAUAACGCAUAAUAAUAAUGGAGAAUGUGAAUGUAAGAGUAAACUGUGUGUGGUUCUGCCUUUUAACUGUGCUCUUAAUCAAAUGUUCUGCUUUGACUUAACAGUUUUGUUUUCCUUUGUGUGGUGUCCUGCUUUUCAACAGAGCUUUACUAUGUUCUUCUGUAUCUAAACGGUGCUGUUCUAUUUCUUAAUUACGUUGUUCUACCUUUAAAUUAUGUUGUUUUAUCGUUAUUCUAUUCAUCAACAGUGCUGUACUAUCUAUAAACUGUGCUUCGCUAUCUCAACAUUGCUCUGUUCUAUCACUCAACUAAUCGUGCUCUUCUGUCUCUCGAUUCUUUUUUUUUUGUCCCAUCUCUUCACUAUGCUGUCCUAUCAUUUCUAUAGUUAGGUCAGUCAGUGUAUGGCAGUGCAAUCCAACAGGGCAGGACCUAAGGGUGUGUUGCUAUUUGUUGUCCUUUGCGAUCCUUUUAUCAACUCAAGGAUAAUCCAGGCUCGCCCAUACACUUGCCUUUCAUUACUUAGAUACGCGUUGAGUUAGUAGCGCCGCCGUCCCCGCCACACCAGCCCGUCCACAACACUCGGUCUGGGAGGCGAGGCGACCUGCACCGAUGGAGACUUGCACCCCACGAACCACAGGUGGUAUCGCGUACCUCGUUACCACUAGUUAAGCCUCGUCACGUCUUCGUUAUGUACUCGUCUUAACCUUUGGAGACGCACAUACCUUAACCAGUAUAUUGUUUCUCAAGGCAGUGUCUUGAUGGUAUAUUGUUUCUCAAGGCAGUGUCUUGAUGGUAUAUUGUUUCUCAAGGCAGUG